UGUGUAGGCGGCUUGGUAAGUCAGAUGUGAAAGCCCAGGGCUCAACCCUGGAAGUGCAUUUGAUACUGCCGAGCUUGAGUAUGGGAGAGGAGAGCGGAAUUCCCAGUGUAGAGGUGAAAUUCGUAGAUAUUGGGAGGAACACCCGUGGCGAAGGCGGCUCUCUGGACCAAUACUGACGCUGAGACGCGAAAGCGUGGGGAGCAAACAGGAUUAGAUACCCUGGUAGUCC
rnacentral:rRNA from 1 species